rnacentral:rRNA from 1 species
AGGGAAACCGAGUCUUAACCGGGCGUUAAGUUGCAGGGUAUAGACCCGAAACCCGGUGAUCUAGCCAUGGGCAGGUUGAAGGUUGGGUAACACUAACUGGAGGACCGAACCGACUAAUGUUGAAAAAUUAGCGGAUGACCUGUGGCUGGGGGUGAAAGGCCAAUCAAACCGGGAGAUAGCUGGUUCUCCCCGAAAGCUAUUUAGGUAGCGCCUCGUGAAUUCAUCUCCGGGGGUAGAGCACUGUUUCGGCUAGGGGGCCAUCCCGGCUUACCAACCCGAUGCAAACUGCGAAUACCGGAGAAUGUUAUCACGGGAGACACACGGCGGGUGCUAACGUCCGUCGUGAAGAGGGAAACAACCCAGACCGCCAGCUAAGGUCCCAAAGUCAUGGUUAAGUGGGAAACGAUGUGGGAAGGCCCAGACAGCCAGGAUGUUGGCUUAGAAGCAGCCAUCAUUUAAAGAAAGCGUAAUAGCUCACUGGUCGAGUCGGCCUGCGCGGAAGAUGUAACGGGGCUAAACCAUGCACCGAAGCUGCGGCAGCGACACU